rnacentral:misc_RNA from 1 species
GAAAUGCGAUACCUAGUGUGAAUUGCAGCCAUCGUGAAUCAUCGAGUUCUUGAACGCACAUUGCGCCCGUCGGCAUUCCGGCGGGCAUGCCUGUCUGAGCGUCGUUUCCUUCUUGCAAGACGAGAGUUGCGCAGAGCUGGCCCGGCCACGGCCCCGCCGAAAAGAAACGAGGCCACGAGCGAACUAGAACAGGACGCUUGGGGUCUCCGAGCACUAUGAGCUCGACCUCAGAUCAGGUAGGAAUACCCGCUGAACUUAA